AGCGAACGCUGGCGGCAGGCUUAACACAUGCAAGUCGAGCGGGCAUCCUUGUGGUGUCAGCGGCAGACGGGUGAGUAACGCGUGGGAACGUGCCCUUCGGUUCGGAAUAACUCAGGGAAACUUGAGCUAAUACCGGAUACGUGCGAGAGCAGAAAGGUUUAUCUGCCGAAGGAUCGGCCCGCGUCUGAUUAGCUAGUUGGUGAGGUUACGGCUCACCAAGGCGACGAUCAGUAGCUGGUCUGAGAGGAUGAUCAGCCACACUGGGACUGAGACACGGCCCAGACUCCUACGGGAGGCAGCAGUGGGGAAUAUUGGACAAUGGGGGCAACGCUGAUCCAGCCAUGCCGCGUGAGUGAUGACGGCCUUAGGGUUGUAAAGCUCUUUUCUCCGGGACGAUAAUGACGGUACCGGAGGAAUAAGCCCCGGCUAACUUCGUG
rnacentral:rRNA from 1 species